UAUUGUUAGAGUUUGAUCCUGGCUCAGGGUGAACGCUGGCGGCGUGGAUAAGGCAUGCAAGUCGAGCGGGCGCAUCACACGGAGUGUGAUGCUCGUAUGAGGGAAUCGUAUGCGUAUGCGGGCAAAAUGGCGAAGCCAUUUUGACGCCCCCAUACCCAUACGCAUACCCAUACCGGGCAUCGUGCAUCGCGCGAUGCGUCAGCGGCAGACGAGGUAGUAACACGUAGGUACGUACCCCAUAGUCGGGCAUAGCCAGCCGAAAGGUUGGGUAAUUCCCGAUAGUCCCGCAAGGGUAAAGAUUUAUCGCUAUGGGAGCGGCCUGCGUUGUAUCAGCUUGUUGGUGAGGUAAUGGCUCACCAAGGCUACGACGCAUAGGGGAGGUGAGAGCCUGACCCCCACCGAUGGAACUGCGACACGGUCCAUACUCCUACGGGAGGCAGCAGCCGAGAAUAUUCCGCAAUGGGCGAAAGCCUGACGGAGCGACGCCGCGUGAAGGAUGAAGGUCUUCGGAUCGUAAACUUCUUUUAUGAGGGAGGAAAUCUUGACGUUACCUCAUGAAUAAGAGGCUCCUAAUUCCGUGCCAGCAGGAGCGGUCAUACGGAAGCCUCGAGCGUUACCCGGAAUCACUGGGCGUAAAGGGUGUGUAGGUGGUGGUAUUAGUCUUCUGUUAAAGACCGGGGCUCAACCUCGGGAAUGCGGAGGAAACGGUACCACUGGAGGGUAUGAGAGGUGUGCGGAACUCAUGGUGUAGGGGUGAAAUCCGUUGAUAUCAUGGGGAACACCAAAUGCGAAGGCAGCACACUGGCAUAUUCCUGACACUGAGACACGAAAGCGUGGGUAGCGAAUGGGAUUAGAUACCCCAGUAGUCCACGCCCUAAACGAUCCUAACUAGCUUUGGGGAGUAUCGACCCUCUCCGAGGCAAAGCUAACGCGUUAAGUUAGGCGCCUGGGUAGUACGAGCGCAAGCUUAAAACUCAAAGGAAUAGACGGGGACUCGCACAAGCGGUGGAGCGUGCGGCUUAAUUCGUCGCUAAGCGAAGAACCUCACCAAGGCUUGAAACCUAGCUGAAAGCUCGCAGAAACGUGAGCCCUCUUCGGACUGCUAGGCAGGUGAUGCAUGGCCGUCGUCAGUUCGUGGUUUGAAUUGUACCGUUAAGUCGGGCAACGAACGCAACCCCUGCUGUCUGUUAUAAGUACCAGGCAGGACUGCCCUUUUUGGGAGGAAGGUGGGGAUGACGCCAGGUCCGUAUUUCCCUCUGAUGCCUUGGGCGGCACGCGCGCUACAAUGGGUGCUACAACGGGACGCAAUGGGGUAACCCGGAGCAAAUCCUAAUAAAAGCAUCCUCAGUUCGGAUUGUGGGCUGCAACUCGCCCACAUGAAGUCGGAAUCGCUAGUAAUCGCAGGUCAGCUAUACUGCGGUGAAUACGUUCUCGAGUCUUGUACUCACCGCCCGUCAACACAAGGGAGCUGGGAGUACCCGACGUCCCGGUUUAUCCGGGCCUACGGUAAGCUCAGUAACAGGGUGUAAGUCGUAACAAGGCACGGGUAGCGGAAGCUGCUCGUGGAUUAAUUCCAAC
rnacentral:rRNA from 1 species